UGGAGGGCAAGUCUGGUGCCAGCAGCCGCGGUAAUUCCAGCUCCAAUAGCGUAUAUUAAAGUUGUUGCAGUUAAAAAGCUCGUAGUUGAAUUUCGGGGUUAGUAGGUUGGUCAUGCCUCUGGUAUGUACUGGUCUCACUGAUUCCUCCUUCCUGAUGAGCCGUAAUGCCAUUAAUUUGGUGUUGCGGGGAAUUUGGACUGUUACUUUGAAAAAAUUAGAGUGUUUAAAGCAAGCUAACGCUUGAAUACAUUAGCAUGGAAUAAUGAAAUAGGACGCUCGAUCCUAUUUUGUUGGUUUCUAGGAUUGACGUAAUGAUUAAUAGGGAUAGUUGGGGGCAUUAGUAUUCAAUUGUCAGAGGUGAAAUUCUUGGAUUUAUUGAAGACUAACUACUGCGAAAGCAUUUGCCAAGGAUGUUUUCAUUAAUCAAGAACGAAAGUUAGGGGAUCGAAGACGAUCAGAUACCGUCGUAGUCUUAACCAUAAACUAUGCCGACUAGGGAUCGGAUGAUGUUAAUUUUUUAAUGACUCAUUCGGCGCCUUACGGGAAAC
rnacentral:rRNA from 1 species